rnacentral:rRNA from 1 species
UACGUAGGGCGCAAGCGUUAUCCGGAAUUUUUGGGCGUAAAGAGCUCGUAGGCUGUUUGUCGCGUCUGCCGUGAAAGUCCGGGGCUCAACUCCGGAUCUGCGGUGGGUACGGGCAGACUAGAGUGAUGUAGGGGAGACUGGAAUUCCUGGUGUAGCGGUGAAAUGCGCAGAUAUCAGGAGGAACACCGAUGGCGAAGGCAGGUCUCUGGGCAUUAACUGACGCUGAGGAGCGAAAGCAUGGGGAGCGAACAGG